rnacentral:rRNA from 1 species
CCUACGGGUGGCAGCAGUGAGGAAUAUUGGUCAAUGGCCGUAAGGCUGAACCAGCCAAGUAGCGUGAGGGAAGACUGCCCUAUGGGUUGUAAACCUCUUUUAUGCGGGGAUAAAGGUGUCCACGUGUGGAUGUUUGCAGGUACCGCAUGAAUAAGGACCGGCUAAUUCCGUGCCAGCAGCCGCGGUAAUACGGAGGAUCCGAGCGUUAUCCGGAUUUAUUGGGUUUAAAGGGAGCGUAGAUGGGUUGUUAAGUCAGUUGUGAAAGUUGGGGGCUCAACUGUAAAAUUGCAAUUGAUACUGGCAGUCUAGAGUACAGUUGAGGUAGGCGGAAUUCGUGGUGUAGCGGUGAAAUGCUUAGAUAUCACGAAGAACCCCGAUUGCGAAGGCAGCUUACUAAACUGUGACUGACAUUGAUGCUCGAAAGUGUGGGGAGCAAACAGGAUUAGAUACCCCAGUAGUC